rnacentral:tRNA from 1 species
AAAAAAUUAGUUUAUUUCGUAAAAUAUUAGAUUGUAAGUCUAAAGAAUUUUUCGUUUUG